AGAGUUUGAUCCUGGCUCAGGAUGAACGCUGGCGGCGUGCCUAACACAUGCAAGUCGAGCGAUCUCUUCGGAGAGAGCGGCGGACGGGUGAGUAACGCGUGGGUAACCUGCCCUGUACACACGGAUAACAUACCGAAAGGUAUACUAAUACGGGAUAACAUAUGAAAGUCGCAUGGCUUUUGUAUCAAAGCUCCGGCGGUACAGGAUGGACCCGCGUCUGAUUAGCUAGUUGGUAAGGUAAUGGCUUACCAAGGCAACGAUCAGUAGCCGACCUGAGAGGGUGAUCGGCCACACUGGAACUGAGACACGGUCCAGACUCCUACGGGAGGCAGCAGUGGGGAAUAUUGCACAAUGGGCGAAAGCCUGAUGCAGCAACGCCGCGUGAGCGAUGAAGGCCUUCGGGUCGUAAAGCUCUGUCCUCAAGGAAGAUAAUGACGGUACUUGAGGAGGAAGCCCCGGCUAACUACGUGCCAGCAGCCGCGGUAAUACGUAGGGGGCUAGCGUUAUCCGGAAUUACUGGGCGUAAAGGGUGCGUAGGUGGUUUUUCAAGUCAGAAGUGAAAGGCUACGGCUCAACCGUAGUAAGCUUUUGAAACUAGAGAACUUGAGUGCAGGAGAGGAGAGUAGAAUUCCUAGUGUAGCGGUGAAAUGCGUAGAUAUUAGGAGGAAUACCAGUAGCGAAGGCGGCUCUCUGGACUGUAACUGACACUGAGGCACGAAAGCGUGGGGAGCAAACAGGAUUAGAUACCCUGGUAGUCCACGCCGUAAACGAUGAGUACUAGGUGUCGGGGGUUACCCCCCUCGGUCGCCGCAGCUAACGCAUUAAGUACUCCGCCUGGGAAGUACGCUCGCAAGAGUAGAAACUCAAAGGAAUUGACGGGGACCCGGCCACAAGUAGCGGAGCAUGUGGUUUAAUUCGAAGCAACGCGAAGAACCUUACCUAAGCUUGACAUCCCACUGACCUCUCCCUAAUCGGAGAUUUCCCUUCGGGGACAGUGGUGACAGGUGGUGCAUGGUUGUCGUCAGCUCGUGUCGUGAGAUGUUGGGUUAAGUCCCGCAACGAGCGCAACCCUUGCCUUUAGUUGCCAGCAUUAAGUUGGGCACUCUAGAGGGACUGCCGAGGAUAACUCGGAGGAAGGUGGGGAUGACGUCAAAUCAUCAUGCCCCUUAUGCUUAGGGCUACACACGUGCUACAAUGGGUGGUACAGAGGGUUGCCAAGCCGCGAGGUGGAGCUAAUCCCUUAAAGCCAUUCUCAGUUCGGAUUGUAGGCUGAAACUCGCCUACAUGAAGCUGGAGUUACUAGUAAUCGCAGAUCAGAAUGCUGCGGUGAAUGCGUUCCCGGGUCUUGUACACACCGCCCGUCACACCAUGGAAGUUGGGGGCGCCCGAAGCCGGUUAGCUAACCUUUUAGGAAGCGGCCGUCGAAGGUGAAACCAAUGACUGGGGUGAAGUCGUAACAAGGUAGCCGUAUCGGAAGGUGCGGCUGGAUCACCU
rnacentral:rRNA from 2 species